rnacentral:rRNA from 1 species
UGGGGAAUAUUGCACAAUGGGCGAAAGCCUGAUGCAGCGACGCCGCGUGAGUGAAGAAGUAUUUCGGUAUGUAAAGCUCUAUCAGCAGGGAAGAAAAUGACGGUACCUGACUAAGAAGCCCCGGCUAACUACGUGCCAGCAGCCGCGGUAAUACGUAGGGUGCAAGCGUUAUCCGGAUUUACUGGGUGUAAAGGGAGCGUAGACGGCGAAGCAAGUCUGAAGUGAAAACCCAGGGCUCAACCCUGGGACUGCUUUGGAAACUGUUUUGCCAGAGUGUCGGAGAGGUAAGUGGAAUUCCUAGUGUAGCGGUGAAAUGCGUAGAUAUUAGGAGGAACACCAGUGGCGAAGGCGGCUUACUGGACGAUAACUGACGUUGAGGCUCGAAAGCGUGGGGAGCAAACAGG